AGGUUGCAUACGACACUGCUCCUCCUUCGGCUCCCUUCGGUAAUCAUUUUUAGUUUUUGUUUUGGGCUGCUCCUCAUUCGGCUCCCUUUGAACUCGCACUCGCAAGGACUAAACUUGAUAAGAAUGAAAGGUUGUUGGAUUUUGUUCACAAGCUAGAGGCUGCAUGCAUUGAGAUAGUGGAGUAUGGGAAAAUGACAAAGGAUCUUGCCAUUUUGGUCCGUGGGCCCAAGGUAUCGUGGGGGUUCUACUUGAACACAGAAGAGUUCAUUGAUGCUGUUACACAAAAUUUAAUCUCAAAGCUUCGAACACCUGCAGUUGUGUAAGUUGAUUUGUAGUUCGUGAUACGAGAUUAGUCAUUUCGUAAAACCAAGAGGUAGGGGUGAGUUGCUUCGGCAGGUUAUUUUUGGUAAUUAGUAGUAAGUCCAUCUUUAUUGCAAUGGCAUAUUCUGGUUGUUUCAGUGUUCUAGGAUGAGUGGUACCUUCUGUGACUGGGACUUGGCUCUUACCCGAACACCAAAUAAAGUUAAUCCUCACCCCAAUAAUGCACUUUUGUAUUUUACUUUAAAAAUAAAAUAAUUGAUAUUAAGUUUACUAUAAAGUUCUUUUUUUUUCUUUUCUUUUUCAGAAAGCUUACUACAAAGUUCCAUGAAAUUCGAAACCUACUGAAAAAAUAAAGUUCCUUAUGCAUCUAGAAAUUACAUUGUACACACACACGCGCAAAUCAAGGUUUGACUCUAGUAACCAAACAAAUUUUUAAUUUUAUCAAUUUAAAUCUUAAACUGUUUAUUCAUUUUCAAUAUGAACCAUUGGGCGAAUUAUGUUAACGGUCUUUGUAGUUUGUGACCUGUAUCACUUUGGUCCCUGAGUUUUCAAUUGUGAUACAUUUGAUCCUGAAUCAUUUGUCUAUUUUUGUUAAGUUAAAAUAAAAUGAAAAGUAGAUAUUUCAGUUAUUAAAUUUAAUGAAAAAUUAUAUU